rnacentral:lncRNA from 1 species
UGGGCUAUGGAGUGAGUUCCAGGUCAGUUUGGGCUAAGAAUCUGCCUAAACAACAAACAAACAAACAAAACAACAAUCCCAGAAGAGGCUAAACAGAUCAGAGCCUAUAAAGACAGCACCACAUGAGGAUGCGCCUUCUGCAUGUACUUCAGAAUCCCACACUAAUGUCUACACCAGACCCCCAUCCUGCAUCUAACCCAAAAUGCAUCCAGCCCCACCGCAGAGCUUGGCUUUCUGCCUCUCCUUUACGUUUGGGCAUGUCUGGCUUUCAGGAUUUUAAUCUUUCAGGAUUGUGAUUAUUUAUGACAUAGCCCCAUUUGGUAGCCCACACUGGCCUUGGAUUCCUGGUCCUGUCUCAGCUUGAGUGUUAGGAUUACAGGUACACUCCACCACGGCCAGGACUUGAAUCUUUAGGGACUUCAGCAUUUGGCAUUAAUGAAGUUGGGAUCCUGUCUCUUCAGAUCAGCACUUCUCGGAAAGCUUGAGGCCUUCCCCAACUGGCAAAAAUGAAGAAACAGAUGCAGCCGGUCCUCCUCAGCGUUGGAGACUUUUAUCUUUAACACCAUUUCGCACAAUGCCAAGCCACACAGACCCUUGCCAUAAUCCCACUUUAUGAAUCUUUAUCCUUGUCUUGGGAACACAGCCUCCCUCUCAGCCUCCCCCAAAGUCCCUCUCUGGAGCCAAGGUUUAGGUUGCUGUGGUUCUAGAUGUCUCUCCCAGGCUCAUCACUCUGAUGGAGCUCAGGACACUGAUUGAGUCUUAGAAAACAGAACUUCCCCUCUGCAGUCUGAAGGGGAAAGAACACCGUGACUGACGGCACUCAGAACUGGCCAAGCCCUGGUCACCAUUGGCGUGAGACUCACAGCACCAAGCUUCCCCUGUCUACACUGGAUAGAAAUGACUGUUCCAGGGCUGUCAGGAUGGCUCUGUGAGCAGAGGCUUGCUGCCAAGACGGCCUGAUGACUUGACUUUAAGCCCCAGGCGCCACAAGGUGGAAGAAGAAAACCGUCUCCACAAAGGUUUCCUCUGACCUCUACACAGGUGCUGUGGCAUGUGUGUACCCCUCCGAUCACCAUAAUAAUAAAUGUAAACUGCCA